CAGGAUAUCAACCUACAUCUCCUGAAUGCAACUCAGACCCUUUUGAUUAAGAUAAAGCCCUCUAGAAUGA
rnacentral:tRNA from 1 species